rnacentral:rRNA from 1 species
CGGCGGACGGGUGAGUAACGCGUGGGUAACCGUGCCUCAUACAGGGGGAUAACAGUUGGAAACGGCUGCUAAUACCGCAUAAGCGCACAGUACCGCAUGGUACGGUGUGAAAAACUCCGGUGGUAUGAGAUGGACCCGCGUCUGAUUAGGUAGUUGGUGGGAUAACGGCCUACCAAGCCGACGAUCAGUAGCCGACCUGAGAGGGUGACCGGCCACAUUGGGACUGAGACACGGCCCAA